AACUCUUCAUUUUACUCAUUUUACCCUUAAUAAGAAGUUUUGAUAACCACACAAAUGUCAUGGCCCCACAAAGAUUUUACCCUUUAAGCUUUUAAGACAACAAAUUUCAAAAAUCUUUUUUUUUCUUAAAUUCCGUGUCGAGUCAACCCACCUCAUCUAAAAUUUGGAGUUGUUGUGGGACCCACUAUUCCACUUGUUAUUUGACUGCUUUGUGCCUCUCUUCAAUUUGUGUUGUGUUUCUGCUGGGGGGACACAAAUCUAUAGGAAUGUGAAUCUCUCAUUCUACUUUUAGAGAGUACUGAUUUUAAAAAUUCAGUCUACUUGUUCUCUGUAUUUUAUGCCUUUUUCUUUUGGCUUCUUCAUUUAAGAGUAUGAUUUUAGAUUCUUUGAGCAUAGUUAAUUUAAUCUUGUUGGCUUUCUUCAUGUGAUCAUGUUUCAUUGUGGGUCGUGUACAUGGAUGUAGUUUUUUUUUUUUCAACCGCUUGCGGGAAAACUCGGCUAAGCACAAAGAUGUAGCCAAUGUGUUUGACGAAAUGCCUAAAACAACUGAGCAAUAUUUAUUUGUUUUCUUAAUUUUUCUGUUCCCACAUAUGCUCUUUCUUCAUGUCAAUUUCUAUGAGAAAGCUUCUUCCAUGUCUCGCCUCCAAGCCCUCUUUUUUAAACAACAAUGGAGGCUAAAAGCAAUAUAUUUGCCACCUCUAAUGUUGUCGACAUAAAUCGACGGUGGUCGUCCAUUGGCUGAAGCUCGGCUAAGCAUUGCCAGGAAUUUCACAAGAAGACGUCAUUCGAUUGAGACUCCAGCAUUCUUGCCUUCUCUAGUGAGUGACAAUUGGGUCUUUAUUGCGUUGUGGUGGGCAAGAUAUGUAACAAGGGAAAAGCAGUUGCAAUCCUCUUGCAGUGGCCCAUAUUGCUCCUAUUGCAGCGAAGAAAUCAAAGAGGCCAAAAACUUGCUCUCAAAUAUGAUAGACGCAGGACCACCACCUGGCAAUGCAGACUUCAAUACAAUUAUCAGUGUACUCUCCAAUAGUGGAGAAUUGGGAGAAACGAGUAAAAUAUUGAAGGUAAUGGAGGAUAGAGGUUUGAAACCUAAUGUAUACACUUACAGUGCAAUUAUGAGUGGUUACCGAAGUGGGAUCAGAUGGAGGAGGCUUGUACGAUUUUUGAUAAAGCCAAAAAGAAGCUCGAAUUAAUUGUGGUUAUUGCAAGCUCGAACAGAUUGAUAAGCCUCUGAAACUAUUAAGAGAGAUGGAACCUAAUGCUGAUGAAUAUAACAAACUUAUUCAAUCUCUAUGCGUGAAGGUUUUAAAUUGGACAACAGAGAAGCUGCUAGAGGACGCGAAUGAGAAUGGGUUGCAUCUAAAUGCAAUCACAAAUGGUCUUUAAUGAGCAGUUAUGGAGCUAGAACAAGAAGGAGCAGGAGACACGAACAGACGCGGAUUUGGGAUUUAAACUCUAUGAGUUCAACAUUUGUGGUUCUUAGAGCAUUGAACACAUAAUAUAUUUAAAGUUAUGGGCUAAGAUGAACCCGGUACAACAUAGUUGCAUCCAACCCCCAACAUGAAGUAAUGACAACCGCAUAGUAGAGUAUGUUGAUUCAUCAAAGAAUUGUUCGACAAAUAUUGCUGGUGGUAUAUUUUCUUCUGAGUUAUCACGGAGUUCAAGGAGAAAUAAAGUUUUCCAAACUAGAGGAACGGGUGUUGGAGAAGCAACUUAAACUUUUGAACAAGCCAACUGUGAAAACAAUUAAGCUUGCAAUAUUUCGGACUCCAAAUGAUCCAAAUAGCAAGUAUGCGGGAGCUGGAAUGUCAGCUGGUCUAUGGAAUCCUCGUGUUGAAAGUCAUCAACAUAAUGCAUUACACAAAUUGGUUGGAGUAUAAGUUUAGCAACUUGUUCAUUUAUAACUUUACUAGUUUUUUUUACUUCAAUAGCUCCAAACUUCUUAAGAGGAGAAAUACAGAGAAGGGAAUGGGAUGAAGAUUGAAUAUUAUACCUCUAAGAUAUUCAUCAUUGAUCUUCCACUCAAUAGUUAUGAAAGCUCUCUUUCUUAUUUUAGGUGGAUCCAACAUUAUAUGGAGAUACUAAAACUAGACUUUUUACUCAUUUCCAAGCUGGAAGUAAACAUUGCUUCAAUACACUAUGCCCUGGCUUUGUUGCGUCAAUACACUAUGCCCUGGCUUUGUACAAUAAACACUGAGAUACCUAUGUAGAUUGAUCGGUAAAAGGAUCUUGCCAAUGGAAACUGGUGGCUUUUGCUGGGAGAAAAUUAUACACAAGUUGGCUUUUGGCCACAGGAUUUUCGCUGCAUUGGCAAACUUUGCUACCAAUGUUGAGUGGGGAGGAGUUGCAUAUAGUUUGUCAAGUGUACCUGAACCUCCAAUGGGCUCGGGCCGUUUUCCUAUUAUAGACUCUAGUUAUGAAGCUUAUUGUAGGGGGCCUCAUAGUUUUAAAUGAUAAAGGUGAGACGGCAGAUGCAGAGAAAAUACAUAUAUUUGUUGAUGAUCCAAAAUUGUACCGAGUAAUUGAUGAACUAUA